rnacentral:rRNA from 1 species
AGCGAACGCUGGCGGCAGGCCUAACACAUGCAAGUCGAACGAACUCUUCGGAGUUAGUGGCGGACGGGUGAGUAACACGUGGGAACGUGCCCUUUGGUACGGAAUAACUCAGGGAAACUUGAGCUAAUACCGUAUGUGCCCUUCGGGGGAAAGAUUUAUCGCCAUUGGAGCGGCCCGCGUCUGAUUAGCUAGUUGGUGAGGUAACGGCUCACCAAGGCGACGAUCAGUAGCUGGUCUGAGAGGAUGACCAGCCACAUUGGGACUGAGACACGGCCCAAACUCCUACGGGAGGCAGCAGUGGGGAAUCUUGCGCAAUGGGCGAAAGCCUGACGCAGCCAUGCCGCGCGGAUGAUGAAGGUCUUAGGAUUGUAAAAUCCUUUCACCGGUGAAGAUAAUGACUGUAGCCGGAGAAGAAGCCCCGGCUAACUUCGUGCCAGCAGCCGCCGUAAAAC